rnacentral:rRNA from 1 species
GAUGAACGCUGGCGGCGUGCCUAAUACAUGCAAGUCGAGCGAACAGACGAGGAGCUUGCUCCUCUGACGUUAGCGGCGGACGGGUGAGUAACACGUGGAUAACCUACCUAUAAGACUGGGAUAACUUCGGGAAACCGGAGCUAAUACCGGAUAAUAUAUUGAACCGCAUGGUUCAAUAGUGAAAGACGGUUUUGCUGUCACUUAUAGAUGGAUCCGCGCCGCAUUAGCUAGUUGGUAAGGUAACGGCUUACCAAGGCAACGAUGCGUAGCCGACCUGAGAGGGGGUUGGCCAAACCUGGAACUGGGACACGGCCCAGACUCCUAGGGGAGGCAGAGGUAGGGAUCUUCCGGAAUGGGGGGAAGGCUUGAGGAGGCACCGCGGGGGGGGGAAGGAGGUCUUCGGAUCGUAAAACUCUGUUAUUAGGGAAGAACAAAUGUGUAAGUAACUAUGCACGUCUUGACGGUACCUAAUCAGAAAGCCACGGCUAACUACGUG